rnacentral:lncRNA from 1 species
AUAAUAAUAAUAAUAAUAAAGAAUAUAUUAGCAAAAUAAUAACAUAAUAGAUAUAAUAAUAUUGCUACAACAAUAAUAAUAUUAUUAUCAAUAUAAUAAUAUUGAUAUAUUAUAACAGUAAUAUAAUUAUUUAUUAGCAAGUUAAUGAUACUGAAUGUAAAUAGAUAUUACUAUGAUAUUAUCUUAAGUGGUAUAUCAAUUAUACUUGAGUAGUGCUAGGCACUGUCCUAAGAAACUAUUUCAGCAGCGUGAAAUGCUUUUUCAAGAUUAAACAAGCAUUUUCUUAAUUAAUUAGAGGGUGUCCAAGAUUAAAUAAGUCUUCCCUAUUAAUCAAAAUGUACAAGAACCAACAUAAUUAUUAAUACAAAUGCCAGCAAGUUACCCUAGAGAUUUACUAAAAGAAUAACCAAAAUCAUUAAUAAUCUAAAAAGAAAGAGGGAAUGGAAGAGAAAAAUGUUGAAAAGAAGGAGAUGGUAA